CAGCCGCCGCGGGAAUACGUAGGUCCCGAGCGUUGUCCGGAUUUAUUGGGCGUAGAGCGAGCGCAGGCGGUUACUUAAGCAGGAUGUGAAAUCCCCGGGCUCAACCUGGGAACUGCGUUCUGAACUGGGUGACUAGAGUGUGUCAGAGGGAGGUAGAAUUCCACGUGUAGCAGUGAAAUGCGUAGAGAUGUGGAGGAAUACCGAUGGCGAAGGCAGCCUCCUGGGAUAACACUGACGCUCAUGCACGAAAGCGUGGGGAGCAAACAGGAUUAGAUACCCCCGUAGUCCAUGUCUCUUAUAC
rnacentral:rRNA from 1 species